rnacentral:lncRNA from 1 species
AAGAGCAUAAAGCUCACUUGCCCAUGCUGCUUAUUGAAAACUUAAAGCUCACUUGUCCCUGUCAUUUGUAAAAGAACUUAAAGCUCACUUAUCCUCAUUGUUAAUUGAAGAGCUUAAAGCAUAAAGCUCACUUGUCCCUGCUGCAUAUUAAACAGCAUAAAGCUCGCGUGUCCCUAUGGCUUAUAGAAAAGCUUGAAGGUUAGUUGUCCCAGUCUCUUAUAGAAGAGUUUAAAGCUCACGCUCCCUGUUGCUUAUAAAAGAGAUUAAAAUAAUCUUGUCCAUGUCCCUAAUAGAACAACUUAAAGCUCACAUAAAAGAGCAUGUAGCUCACGUGUCCAUAUGGAUAUAAAAUAGCAUAAAGCUCAACGUUUCCUUCCCAUUUAUGAAAAAGCUUAGAGGUCACUUGUCCCUCUCGCUUAUAAAAGGGCUUAAAGCUCACGGGUCCCUGUUGUUUAAUAUAAGAGCUUAAAGCUCACUUUUCUCUGCCACUCGUAAAAGACCAUAAAGCUUACUUGCUCCUGCCGCUUAUAAAAGAGCGUAAAGCUCACUUGUCCCUGUCAUUUAUGAAAGAGUUUUAACGCUCACUUGUUCCCAUCAUUAAUUAAAGAGCUUGAAGCAUAACGCUCACUUGUCCCUGCUGCUUAUUAAAGAGCAUAAAGCCCACUUGUCCCUCUGGCUUAUGGAAAAGCUUAAAGGUUGCUUGUCCCUGUCUCCUAUAGAAGAGUUUAAAGCUCAUGUGUCCAUGUUGCUUAUAAAAGAGAUUAAUAUAAACUUGUCCAUGUCCCUACUAAAAUAACUUAAAGCUCACAUAAAAGAGCAUGACGCUCACGUGUCCCGAUGUUGAUUAUAAAAGAGCUUAAAGCUCACUUGUCCUCGUCGCUUGCAAAAGAGCUAAAGCUCACUUGUCCCCCCUCCCCCCGCGCUUAUAAAAGAACUUAAAAGCUCACUUGUCUCUGCCGCUUAUAGAAGAGCUCAAAGUUCUGGGGUCUGUGUAUAUAAAAGAGCUUAAAGCUCAUGUGUCCCGGUUGCUUAUAAAAGAGCUUAAAGCUCACUUGUCCCUCUCGUUUAUAAAAAAGAGCAUAAAGGUCACAUGUCUUUAUCGCUUCUUAAAGAGCUUAAAGCUCACUUGUCCCUAUGGCUUAUAAAAGAGCUUGAAGCUCAUUCGUCCUGCUGCUUAUAAAAGAGUAGGAAGCUCACGUGUCAAUGUGGCUCAUAAAAGAGCUUAAAGUUUGCUUGUCUCUGUAGCUUAUAAAAGGGCUUAAAGCUGAAAGCUCAUGUGUCCUAUUGGCUUAUAAAAGAGUUUAAAGCUCACGUGUCCCUUCUGUUCAUAAAAGAGUUUAGUGCUCAUGUGUCCCUCUUACUUACAAAAGAGCGCAAUGCUCAUGUGUCACUCCUAAGCAAGAGCUUAAUGCUCACAUGUCCCUGGUGCUUAUAAAAGAGCUUAAAGCUCAUGUGUCCCGGUUGCUUAUAAAAGUGCUUAACACUCACGUGUCCUUGCUUAAGAAAGAGUUUAAUGCUCAUAACCCAAUGAUUACGAAAUAGCUUGAUGAUCAUGUGUGAAAGCGCUUAAUGCUCAAAUGUCCCUGUUGCUUAUCUAAAAACUUUCUCGAGUGUCCCUGUUGCAUAUGAAAAGAGCUUAAUGCGCACGUAUCCCUCAGAGCUGAUGCUCACAUGUCCCUCAUGUGUCCCUGUGGCAUAUGAAAGAGCUUACAGCUCACUUGUCCCUAUCAAUUAUAAAAGUGCUUAAAGCUCACUUGUGCCUAUUCCUUAUUAAAGCGCCUAAAGCUUACGUGUUCCCUGUUGCUGAUAAAAGAGUUUCAAGUUUACUUGCCCCCAUCGCUUAUAAAAGAGCUUAAAGCUCACAUAAAAUAGCAUGAAGCUCACUUGUCCUUGUGAAUUAUAAAAGAGUUUAGAGCUCACUUGUCGGUGUCGCUUAUAAAAGAGCUUAAAGCUCACUUGUCCCUCCCACUUAUACAAGAGCAUAAAGCUCACGUGUCCUGGUUGCUUGUAAAAUAGCUUAUAGCUGACUUGUCCCUCUCUCUCGCUCUCUUAUAAAAGAGCUUAAACCUCACGUCUCCCUGUCACUUAUGAAAGAGCAUUCAGCUCACUUGUCUAUGUCACUUAUAAAGAGCUCAAAGCUCAUGUGUCUAUGUCCCUUAUAAAAGAGCAUGAAGCGCACGUGUCUCUGUGGCCUAUAAAAGAGCUUAAAGCUCACUUCUCCCUGUUGCUUAUCAAAGAGCUUAAAAGUUACUUGUCCCUCCCCAUUUGUAAAUGUCCCUGUCGUUUAUAAAAUUGCAUAUAGCUCAUGUGUCCUUGAUGCUUGUAAAAGAGCUUAAAGCUCACGUGUCUAUAUCGCUUAUAAAAGAGCUUAAAGCUCUAUAUCGCUUAUAAAAGGCUUAAAGCUCAUGUGUCUCUAUUGCUAAGGCUCAUGUGUCCCUAUUGUUUAUAAAAGAGCUUAACGGCACAGUUACUCUUGCUUAUAAAAGAGCUUAAUGCUCAUUUAUCCUAAUGAUUAUGAAGUAGCACAAUGCUUAUGAAAGAACUUGCUCAAAUGUCCAUGUUGCUUAUGAAAAGCGUCUAAUGCUCAGGUAUCACUCAUAGCUUGAUUCUCACAUGUCCCUACUGCUUAUGAAAGAGCUUAAAGCUCACUUAUCGUGUGGCUUAUGAAAGAGCCUAAAGCUCACUUGCCCUUGUUACUUAUAAAAUAGCAUAAAGCUCACUUGCCCAUGCUGCUUAUUGAAAAACUUUAAAGCUCACUUGUCCCUGUCAUUUGUAAAAGAACUUAAAGCUCACUUAUCCUCAUUGUUAAUUGAAGAGCUUAAAGAUAAAGCUCACUUAGGUCCCUCUGCAUAUUAAACACUAAAGCUCGCGUGUCCCUAUGGCUUAUAGAAAGCUUGAAGGUUAGUUGUCCCAGUCUCUUAUAAAAGAGUUUAAAGCUGACGCUCCCUGUUGCUUAUAAAAGAGAUUAAAAUAAUCUUGUCCAUGUCCCUAAUAGAACAUCUUAAAGUCACAUAAAAGAGAUGAGCUCACGUGUCCAUAUGGAUAUAAAAUAGCAUAAAGCUCAACGUUUCCUUCCCAUUUAUGAAAAAGCUUAGAGGUCACUUGUCUCUCUCGCUUAUAAAAGGGCUUAAAGCUCACGGGUCCCUGUUGUUUAAUAUAAGAGCUUAAAGUUCACCUUUCUCUGCCACUCGUAAAAGACCGUAAAGCUUACUUGCUCCUGCCGCUUAUAAAAGAGCGUAAAACUCACUUGUCCCUGUCAUUUAUGAAAGAGUUUUAACGAUCACUUGUUCCCAUCAUUAAUUAAAGAGCUUGAAGCAUAACGCUCACUUGUCCCUGCUGCUUAUUAAACAACAUAAAGCCCACUUGUCCCUCUGGCUUAUGGAAAAGCUUAAAGGUUGCUCGUCCCUGUCUCCUAUAGAAGAGUUUAAAGCUCAUGUGUCCAUGUUGCUACUAAAAUAACUUAAAGCUCACAUAACAGAGCAUGACGCUCACAUAUCCCGAUGUUGAUUAUAAAAGAGCUUAAAGCUCACUUGUCCUCGUCGCUUGCAAAAGAGCUUAAAGCUCACUUGUCCUCGUCGCUUGCAAAAGAGCUAAAGCUCACUUGUCCCCCAACGCCCCCGCUUAUAAAGAGCUUAAAAGCUCACUGUCUCUGC